AUGCUGGUAGCAGCUGCAGACUGUGGAUCUUCACUUCUCCAGCUUCUCUUGGGCUGGGUACAUUGUGUGAUUGCUCCCCACCAGGAAAAGUAUACUGGGAAGAGAGUCAGCAAGGCAGGAUCCACCAGGGAUCUCAGCAAGUUCCCCAUCAGCAUAAUUGAAACUUUGACAUCUGAACGAGAUGUCAGAAGGAAUCAUCAUCACCAAGUCUUCUGUCUCAGCUCAGUCAGCUCUACUGUGCUGGAGGGAGCUGCACAUUACUACAAAAGAAUUUCUGACUUUUUUCACCGUUUCAAUGGCAAAGAAUCUGACAGGAGGUCACCUCACAAGGCAGGAAAUCACUGGUUCUGUGGUGCUGAAGAAUUUUUCAGUCAACCCAUCAUCUCGAGUUCACCAGCUUCCCAUGCAAAUCUGGCAAGGCGCUCCCAUGUACUGUGGUAUCCUCAGUUCUCCAGACCUAAACCUGAGAAUAUUUGUGACAUAGAAUCAUAGAAUCACAAGGUUGGAAAAGACCUACAAGAUCAUCUAAUCCAAUCGUCCUCCCUUUACCAUACCUACAGAAAACCACUAAACCAUAUCUCCUAGCUCCCUAUCCAGACACUUCUUGAACAGGGAUGGUGACUUCACCUGCCUGGGCAGGCUAUUCCAGAAUUUGACAUCCACAUUUGACAUCUAGGAGCUGAUUUCUGAAGACUGAAGCUCUGCAGUUGCUGAAAUGGCAGAGACUUCUAUAAAUACAAGUGCACAGGCUGAAGUGAGUACUGAUUUUGUACAUGAAGUAGAGCUUACAACACAGAUAGAGGGUCCACCAGCUGGGUGGGAUCUAUUUUUUUUUCCAAGACAUACAACAUAGUGGAGUGAUACAAUAGAUGUUGUUCAGAUUUAUGGAUUGAAAGGAAUAAGUGAAGUUACAGCUUAUUCCAGUAGCACCUCAUACUUGAUUAUUACAUACGAAGUGAUAGCAAUAGAUUGUGCUGCCAUCCACAAAGUGUUGGUUUUCAUUCUCCCCUAUCAAUAAUGGUAACUUUUCCUGGUAAUAGAAAACAACUGCUUUGCACCUUGGAAAGACAAAUCUUCAGUCUCUAAGCAUUAAGUAUCUUUGCUAUAAACAUUUUCUAUUUUGGAGGUAAUUAAGUUGAGUUAGAAUCAGGGAAAAAAAUCAAAGAAAGCUGAAAGAGCAUUCCACAAUGUAGCAGAACUAAGCUAUUCCAUCAGUGAUCUAGUCCUGCACUGAUUGACCUUAAAUCUGUCACUGUGUUUUCAUCUCCCUCUCAAUGAGUAUUUUUCAGGAACCAAGGAACAAUACUUAAAAGUCCAUGCCCUCCCUACAACCAGCCUGCAGACAGGCCUAUGGAUAAGUCUGGUCUCAUACGAGAAUCCCUGAGUUACUUUCCAAACCAGCCCAAUAACUCACCCUGGCUUGCUGAAGGGUUCUUUGGAAAGACUGGUGGGGCUGCAUGUAUUUUGGGGUUUUGGGGAAACAUAAACCCUCUGUCACUGUAGAGUUGUUCAAGAAAAAAUACAAAUAAUAAUAAAGAAAUGUUUCAUAGAGCUAUGAUUUUUUCC
ensembl:lncRNA